GGAAGAGCCCCCACGAGCUUCGUGCGGGAUUCUAGGCUCCCCUGUGACAGCCGCGGCAGGAAGCAGGCGGGCGCUCCCCGGCCACAGGCCUGCUGUUUUUCGGAAGGGAGAAAGCUGGACAUUUUCCCACGUAACUCCCAGCUCUGGGCCUAGAGUGUGCAUGGCGAAGUCCCCGGAGAACUCUACCCUGGAGGAGAUUCUGGGGCAGUAUCAACGGAGUCUCCGGGGUUGUUCUUGCAGAACGUGCCAGUAGAAGCAUUCACCAACUGAAAUGUGCCCUGAAAGAAGGUGAUGUCACUAUUGGAGAAGAUGCACCAAAUCUUUCUUUUAGCACCAGUGUGGGAAAGGAGGAUGCCAGGACAGCCUGGCCCGAAUUACAACAGAGCCAUGCUGUUAAUCAGCUCAAAGAUUUGUUGCGCCGACAAGCAGAUAAGGAAAGUGAAGUAUCUCCAUCAAGAAGAAAAAUGUCCCCUUUGAGGUCAUUAGAACAUGAGGAAACCAAUAUGCCUACUAUGCACAACCUCGUUCCUAUUAUUAAUGACCAGUCUCAAUAUAUUCAUCAUUUAGAGGCAGAAGUUAAGUUCUGCAAGGAGGAACUCUCUGGAUUGAAAAAUAAAAUACAAGCAGUUGUGCUUGAAAAGGAAAGCCUCCAGCAAGAGCUGAAAUCUCAAAGACAGGAGGAGACACUAAGGGAACAAACACUUCUGGAUGCAUCUGGAAACAUGCAGAAUUCUUGGAUUACAACAGGUGAAGAUUCUGGGGUGGGUGAAACUGCCAAAAGACCAUUUUCCCAUGACAACGCAGAUAUUGCCAAAGCUGCAUCUGCUGGUGAGCAGCUAGAACUGGAGAAGCUAAAACUUACUUAUGAGGAAAAGUAUGAAAUUCAGGAAUCCCAACUGAAGUUUUUGAGGAAAGACUUAGCUGAAUAUCAGAAAACUUGUGAAGAUCUUAAAGAGCAACUAAAGCAUAAAGAGUUUCUUCUGGCUGCUACUACUUCUAACCGGGUUGCUGGUCUUUGUUUGAAAUGUGCUCAGCACGAAGCUGUUCUUUCCCAGACUCAUAAUAACGUUCAUACGCAGACCAUUGAAAGACUGAUUAAAGAAAGAGAUGACUUGAUGUCCGCGCUAGUUUCCGUAAGGAGCAGCUUGGCAGACACGCAGCAAAGAGAAGCACAUGCUUAUGAACAGGUGAAACAAGUUUUGCAAGUAUGUGAGGAAGCCAAUUUUGAAAAAACCAAGGCUUUAAUCCAGUGUGACCAGUUGAGGAAGGAGCUGGAGAGGCAGGCAGAGCGACUUCAAAAAGAACUUGCAUCUCAGCAAGAGAAAAGGGCUAUUGAGAAAGACAUGAUGAAAAAGGAAAUAACGAAAGAAAGGGAGUCCAUGGGAUCAAAGAUGUUGAUCUUGUCUCAGAAUAUUGCCCAACUGGAGGCCCAGGUGGAAAAGGUUACAAAGGAAAAGAUUUCAGCUAUUAAUCAACUAGAGGAAAUUCAAAGCCAGCUUGCUUCUCGGGAAAUGGAUGUCACAAAGGUGUGUGGAGAAAUGCGCUAUCAGCUGAGUAAAGCCAACAUGGAGAAGGAUGAGGCAGAAAAGGAGCACAGAGAGUUCAGAGCAAAAACUAACAGGGAUCUUGAAAUUAAAGAUCAGGAAAUAGAGAAAUUGAGAAUAGAACUGGGUGAAAGCAAACAACACUUGGAACAGGAGCAGCAGAAGGCAGCCCGGGCCAGAGAGGAGUGCCUGAGACUAACAGAACUGCUGGGCGAAUCCGAGCACCAACUGCACCUCACCAGACAAGAAAAAGAUAGCAUUCAGCAGAGCUUUAGCAAGGAAGCAAAGGCCCAAGCCCUUCAGGCCCAGCAAAGAGAGCGGGAGCUGACACAGAAGAUACAGCAAAUGGAGGCCCAGCAUGACAAAACUGAAAAUGAACAGUAUUUGUUGCUGACCUCCCAGAAUACAUUUUUGACAAAGUUAAAGGAAGAAUGCUGUACAUUAGCCAAGAAACUGGAACAAAUCUCUCAAAAAACCAGAUCUGAAAUAGCUCAACUCAGUCAAGAAAAAAGGUACACAUAUGAUAAAUUGGGAAAGUUCCAGAAAAGAAAUGAAGAAUUGGAGGAACAGUGUGUCCAGCAUGGGAGAGUACAUGAGAUAAUGAAGCAAAGGCUAAGGCAGCUGGAUAAGCACAGCCAGGCCACAGCCCAGCAGCUGGUGCAGCUCCUCAACAAGCAGAACCAGCUUCUCCUGGAGAGGCAGAGCCUGUCGGAAGAGGUGGACCGGCUGCGGACCCAGGAUUGCACCCGGGUGCUCUGUGAGUGCCCUGGGACUUCAGGCAGUACGCGCUUGGAGUGAUGAAUAGGAAAAAUGCAUCUGGAAAUGGAAACGAAGAGGAGUCUCAUUCUCCUUACAAAAUGACCCUGUGCUCAAGGAACCUUUACCCAGCAUGCCACAAUCUGAUUGCUGACCUGGAUGGAACAGAGUGAAAUAAAUGAUUUACAAAGAGAUAUAUACAUUCAUCUGAUUUAGACUUAAUAUGCCACAACGCACCACGACCUUCCCAGGGUGACACCGCCUCAGCCUGCAGGGGGGCUGGUCCUCAUCAGCGCGUGCGCCAUCCCUGCACGCAGCCGGGCUGGAGCUGGAGUCUGACUCCAGAGGAGCAGAGCUCCUGGUGUAUGUUUUCAGAAAUGGCUUGAAGUUACGUGAUUCAAUCUGCUCAUUCGUAUGCUAGGUUGUACAUAUGAUUUUCAAUAAAUGAACUUUUUAAAGACUUGAGUUGUAAUGUUUCCUUUUUAUCUUGUAGUGAUGAACAAAACACACCAAAAAGGCACAUAUUUUAACUAGGCCAAAGUAUAUUAAGGACCAAACUUUUUUUCCUGCCAUUCAUUUUUCUUUUCAUGAUCUAUAUAGCAAUCAUCCUUCACCUUUAAUCAAUGUCCCAUCAGACUCCAUUUUAUGUAUUGUCCUAAUUUGCGCACAAUCAAUCAAUCAGGAGACACCAGGAAGCACUAUGCAUUACUCUUUCCAUUCUGUUAAACAACGAAAACAGACAAAAAAGCAUCUUUGGCUCGGUGGUGUCAGAUUUUUUUCUUCAAUAUGCAGUAUUUGAGAGGAGCCUAAAAACGUACUUAGUGAAAUUAGAAAAUUUACUUAGAGUAUAUCAAAUAUCUAUCUAUCUGUACACAGAUAAUUAUUUGUCUAAAAUAGUAUUUCUACUAUACACAGUUAAGCCCUCAAAUGCUUUAAAGUAAUAAAAAUGGACACUGGACAUACUGUGUUGUAUCUGAGAAUGACAAACAACACUAAAGGCAAGGCUGCAGUUGGGACGGGUCCCUGACCUUCGGCUGCCCUGCUUGGCCAGCGAGCCAUCAUCCUCAUCCCCAUCGCAACACAGCGCUGAUGUCACCAUCCGCUCAGCCUUGCCUCUCAGAAGUGGUGUGGACUAGGCUUUGGAGGCGGUGGCAUGAUCUACACACACAGACCAUUCGAAUCUCUUGAGCGUGUAAAAGGCUCAAGCCUGAAACAGUAGAACUUCUAUUCAGAUUCAGAAGUUUUUCAUCAAAUGUGCUAGACAUAAAGGCUGUCACAUAAGAUAUUUUAAUUGUCCUUAAUUCUGAUUUAGAUAUACUGUGAAUAAAUUAUACAAUAUUCUAAAAAUAGCACCUUUAAAGAAUUAUAGAGGUCACUUUAUUUUAGCCUCCUGGAUCUGUCAACCCCAGUGGUUUUGAGCGAAGAGCACAUGUGGGAAUGCUCUCAAAUUUGGCUGUGUGACGUACACAAGCGCGCUUGACUCACUCUGGUCCCAAAAGCCAUUCCUCUGUCUGGCUUCAUCACAGGAGCAAAGCCAAGUUUCUACAAUAGUAGCUUUAUGAGGUAAAAUCAGAAAAAGGCCCCAUCCAGAAUGAUUCAACGUGAAGUCAGACUGCAGUCCAGCCGUCCUACCCAUCUACAUCACCCGUGUCUAAGUUUGUUCAUUUGCCAUGACAUGUUAGAAAUACACUCUAAGAAAGGAAGUAUGCAGAGCAGUACAUUAUCAGGAAGACAUUAAUGACAAGCUACAUUCCUUCAGAUUCUGGGUCCAAACCAUGGGUUGUAUAGAUGAUGAGGGUCUGAAUGUCUCCAAGGUCUGAGCCCUCCUCCAUCCCUGGCUUCACAGAAUAUCCGUCCUAAAUCCAGUGCUGAGAGUCAGCGUCUCCCCUCGGAAGCAGCCCUUCAUCACAGUUUGCGUCACCGCACUACUACCGUUCCACUGAAGUAAAAAUGAGCCCCUAUGUGUGUCUGAGCUACAAGGAAUUUGUAUAUUUUCCUGUCACAUUUUAUACAAAGUAGGCUAAUACCAGCUGGGGCUAUUAAAAAUCUGUUUUCAUUAAAGAAGAUGUAAUUUGGGGGGAUCAUAGAACCACAUCCAACAACAAGAAACAGAGAAGUAGCAGAUUGACAUAGUGCUUUAUUUAAGCUGUGUCUGCAUGAAGGAAAAUCAUGUUCAUCCCUAUCAUAUACGUGUAAAAAUACUAAGGAUGUACAGUGUACAAAAACAGUUUCUCCUAGUUAUUUCACAUCCUCGCGGGCCAUAUACUUCAGGAAAGAGACAGUUUUAGUAUGACCAACAGUAAGAGUAAUACAGUUUCUUGGGUUUAUAGUUGCAUCUGCUUAAAAUCCUUAACCAGAUGACUAGAUCUUGCACAGAUCUAAUGAAAGAACUAGCAAGGUCAAGAAAUGUCACAAACUAUAAAGCUACAGGGAGGUAAUUCAAUUACCAAUUUAGAGGUUUUCUUUUUAUUUAAAUAAAUACUUUACAUUUCAUGCUUGCCUGUAAUGCACUACCAGGAGCAAGAUGAGGAAAUUCUACUGUGGACAGUACAAACAGUAGCAGCAAAGUGUGUACGUUGAGGUGUAAUAUAGAGACCCUGCAGUUAGUAAGGAAGGCCCUUACUUUUGUCCUCUAGGAGAAGCAAGUGGCCCCUGCAAGAACAGUCAGCUUGAAGAAGCUGGAAAUCAGGGAUGGGAAAUGGAAAACAAUACUUGAAUAAUGCUAUGUAAUUAGUGUAGAAAGCAAAGCUGAGCGUGACCCUGCCAACAAUCCAAGCAGAAAUGGCCAAUUUCCUCCAAGAUGGCUGCAUUAUGACAAGAAGUCAAGCUUCAUGACAGUUAGUAUGGGCUGGAGUCUGCAAAGUAUGAACUGUAUUCUCAUAGAAUGAUUCCAGGUUUCAGGGUGUUCCACCUGCCAGAACCCAAAACUACAACUAUGGGCGACACAAGGGAAGUUUCAGAAAUCUCCCUGUACACACAUUUCUGGUUUUCUAGUAUUCCUCCAUGGCAGCUGACAGAUCUGGAAGUGAAAAGAGGGGAUUCUCAAAAUCAAAGCCAAGAAGACACCUUGUGUGACCCCAGUGGAGUCUCAGAGGGUGGAAUGGAAGUGACCGAGCCCCAGGCAUGUUUGGGGAGGGACUGAGAGCCAGUGUGAGGAGUGGCCCGACUGGGGCAAUGUCAGUGCCAGUCAUUACACUUUAGGAAGUGUCCUUGGCCAAGGUCACGGGAAUCACUAAGAUCUGGGGGAAAAAACCAAAACAACACAAAGCUAUGUGCUUAGUGCAUGGCGCUAUGGUUUCCCUCCAGAGGAGUAAGUGCUCUGAACAUCAGUCAGUCUCAGCUUCCUGCUCUUCCUCCCACCUGUUUCUUUCUUAUACAAUGGAUGCAAGACAACUUAAAGAACAUACCUUCUAGUCUACUUUUUUGUCAAAAUGAAACAUUCAACAUAAUUCCAAGUGAAAAAAAAAGAAGUAAGAAUGAACUACCAUUUACUGUAACUUCCUACUCAAUACUAAGGAUGAACUUCACUCAGGUAGAAAUAUGAAAAAUAAGGAGAACAUCGAUGUCUGAAUAUGUCUUAGCUGCCUUAGUAAAAUGCCCUUUAACCCCCGUCAGUCCCAGUGGCCCACCCACUGCCAGCAGUGGUUUUAUAGCUAUAAAUCCACACUUCCAGCGUCAAGAGGCUAAGACAUCUGCAUAUGAAUAUGAUUCAUCCUACUUAGAAAGUCACUUGCUCUUUCAUACAAUGCAAUCAUAAUACUACAUCACGCUGUAGUCUUCCAUUUGGGAGCUGUCAGAGAGUUUAACUAAAAUACAUUUCCAUGAUCACUCCACGGAGUGGGAUGGCCUUCUGCUUGCCGCAAGAACGGCCCCCAGCCCCUAGGACUUCAUAGGCUGCUUUGGAAAUUGUCAGCUCCUAGCACCAAAGGGUUUAAUCUGAAGAUCACCAUUAAUGAAGGAGAAAGAUGAGGUUUGCAUACAUGUCCCCUUUCAGUGAGAAAUGUUGGAAUCUGGGGACAUGAGUAUAUACAGAAAAAGAAAAGCUGGAGGUGUUCUCUUUUUUUGUUUUUUCCCUGAUGGCUUAAUUCAGUGAUAAAUGUACCAUGAUCCCAAGAAACACACCAGGUUCUUAGCCUUCACUGCCCACUUCCUAAAUCCUCAAGAUGUGUUCAUUUUGCCAUGUAAAGAUCAUUUCUUAUCAUCACUCAGGUCUCAAUUUUCUUCAUUACUUUUUGUUGCCAGGUCAUCAUAAUGUUUCAAUUCUUCAAUGAGCAAACGUCAACAGCUAUUUGUUUCAUUAACCCCUUGGCAUGGAUAGUUGGGGAUUUUCUCAUUUUCAGUACCAAGGGGUUAAAUGACAGCAUCUCUUCUCCCAAAGCCAAAUUCUAACCAAUAUAUUCCAUUUCAGAGCCUUAUCGUUUUUUAACAGAGGAGAAAAAGUGCAUGAUUCUCAUCAGCAUGUACAAUCCUUGCACAUGGGUCAAAAGAAACUGCAGUAAGUCUAUUUUAUAUAGGUUGGAGCUGCGUUUGCUGACAUGACAUACAAUUCUCAUCACUAAAAAAUAAAUACUACUGCAAUAUAAACAAAAUCAUAAAAGGACAUUCAAAGUUUUAACAUCUGAGAAAAAGCUAAUUCACGUAGAACUGAAAGUAAAAAAUUAAAUAAGGCAAACACCUGUUUACCUUGGUGUACAAAUUUUGGUGAAAAGCAGUAUCAUUAUACCUGUCUACAUUCUUCAGCCAUCAGAGGUGAUAAAUGUCAAGAAGGAAAAAAGGUUUCCAAGCACGGGGGAAAGAUGCUCUCUGGCGCAAACUGCUUCAUAAGACCCUGUAAGUGACCUUGGCUGUGCAUGUGCCUUCAUUUCUUGGUAGAACAGUGUUCACUGGCUCAUGAUUGCCCGGGAGUCUCCACAUCCACAUGUGAUAUGGGCUUCUUCUACAGUAUCCACCAGGAAUU